rnacentral:rRNA from 1 species
GUGGGGAAUAUUGGACAAUGGGGGGAACCCUGAUCCAGCCAUGCCGCGUGUGUGAAGAAGGCCUUUUGGUUGUGAAGCACUUUAAGCGAGGAGGAGGCUACCGAAAUUAAUACUCUUGGAUAGUGGACGUUACUCGCAGAAUAAGCACCGGCUAACUCUGUGCCAGCAGCCGCGGUAAUACAGAGGGUGCAAGCGUUAAUCGGAUUUACUGGUCGUAAAGCGCGCGUAGGUGGCCAAUUAAGUCAAAUGUGAAAUCCCCGAGCUUAACUUGGGAAUUGCAUUCGAUACUGGUUGGCUAGAGUAUGGGAGAGGAUGGUAGAAUUCCAGGUGUAGCGGUGAAAUGCGUAGAGAUCUGGAGGAAUACCGAUGGCGAAGGCAGCCAUCUGGCCUAAUACUGACACUGAGGUGCGAAAGCAUGGGGAGCAAACAGGAUUAGAUACCCGAGUAGUCC